GUGUGUGUGUGUGUGUGUGUGUGUGUGUGUGUGGAGGGGAGCUUACGGAUUCCCAGGGACGAGAGCAGUGAUUCCCUAGAUGGACACUUUUCCCGUCAACAUAACCCAAACAAUCUGCUAAGGCUUACAGUGGGCAGAUGUGUGGAAAGCAACCAGAUGAAGCUUGAUAUGCUGGUCAUUCUGCCACAGUGCUCAGGCUCGGCCAAAGAUGUGCGGGGUCUGGCCUGGUGUUAAUGUUAUUUCACGGCCCCUUGGGCCAGGCUGCAGAAGAGUCUCUCCACAUCCUGAGAACUCGACUGCUUUUGUCCACUCUCCAACCUGUUCAGCCAGGAACUUCCAGUCACAGGCCAGAUUUAUGAAUCUGCUCUCGACAGGGGCUCGCCCCUCUGCAGCUGUAACAGGGGCCCAGGAGUGGCAGAUUGGUGUGCCUGCGAAUCAACCUUCUGAUCAGUAGUCCAACACCUUAACCACUGAGCUACCACUUCAAUUGUCAAACAGUGACUGCUUUUAUUGUCAGCAUGCACUAGUGGAUUUGCAGAUUUGCAAAGCAAGCUACCUGGACUAGAUACAGUAUGUCCACUCACCAAAGGAAUCAAUGAUCAGCUAUUUCCUUUCAAACCUCAUUUUUCUUCAUGAUGUCUCUAUACACAUUCAACGAGAGACUGUAUAUGCCAGGAUUUGAUGAAACCAUGGUUAUAUAUAUAUAUUUUUUUUUUCAUUUUUCUGUGUCACACUGUAAAUGUGAAGUAAUUGCAGAUUGGAAAUAAAUGUUGUUAUUGGAGACGUGAAGAUAUGUCAGACCACACGUGCCAGAGGUUUGCAAGAAAUUAUGUCAGUUCAAUUUGAAUGCCACUUGUUGCUCUUCAACUUGCCACUGCUGCUGAAAUAAUUGAGCUAGCCCAUUCACACAUGUAUUAAUGGCUGUCUGUUGCUUUAGUGGCAGAAAAACGAAAGGCUAGGUAAUACUCAGAAAGACAAGAUGGUACACUAAUAAACACCACAAAACUAAGACCACUAAUAAAGAUAAAAAAAGCUCAAACUCAUCAUAGACACAAUGUUGGACUUGUAAACAGUUAGGCCAGUUAGUAAUCAGGUCACUGUAAGCAGGACAGGUGCUUUACUGGAGGUCAUAUCAUGGUCAAUAAACUGGUCAGCACUUUAUUAUGUUUCUGUUCUGUAAUGUAUUGUACAGCAUUGUCUGACUGCAUUGUCUUUUUUCUUGCACUGUUUGCACUAGGUUGCACACUAAGCAUGUUAUUUUGCUUGGACAACUUACUUUUGAGACCUUAGCUCUGUGUUGUUUUAUGCAACACCAUGGUCCUAGAGAAAUGUUGUUUCGUUUCACUA